rnacentral:rRNA from 1 species
CUCACCAGGUCAGGACACGGUAAGGAUUGACGGACUGAAGGCUCUUUCUCGAUUCCGUGGAAAGUGGUGCAUGGCCGUUUUUGGUUGGUGGAUCGAUCCGUCUGGUUAAUUCCGUUAACGAACGAGACCUCGGCACUCCGAAUAGCGCGGCGGACGUCGCGGCCUCCGGGCCGUCUUCCGCACGAGCUUCUUAGAGGGACCGUCCCCCGCCGGGGGAAGGAGGUGCGAGGCAACGACAGGUCUGUGAUGCCCUUAGAUGUUCUGGGCCGCACGCGCAUUACACUGACGCGUCCAACGGGUGACUCCCGACCCGAAGGGGCCGGGGAAUCCGCAAGGCGCGUCGUGAUGGGGAUUGAACGUUGCAAUUGUUGUUCACGAACGAGGAAUUCCUAGUAGGCGCGGGUCAUCAACCCGCGCCGAUUACGUCCCUGCCCUUUGUACACACCGC